AACGAACGCUGGCGGCGUGCUUAACACAUGCAAGUCGAACGGAAAGGCCCUGCUUUUGUGGGGUGCUCGAGUGGCGAACGUGUGAGUAACACGUGAGUAACCUGCCCUUGACUUUGGAAUAACUUCAGGCAACUGGGGCUACUACCGGAUAGGAGCUCCUGCUGCAUGGUGGGGGUUGGACCGUUUCGGCGGUUGGGGAUGUACUCGCGGCUUACCAGCUUGUUGGGGGAGGAGUGGCUUACCCAGGCUUUGACGGAUAGCCGGCCUGAGUGGGGGACCGGCCACAUGGGGACUGAGAUACGGCCCAGACUCCUACGGGAGGCAGCAGGGGGGAGUAUGGCACAAUGAGCGGAAGCCUGAGGAAGCGACGCCGCGUGCGGGAUGACGGCCAUGGGGGGGUGAACCGCUUUCGCCUGUGACGAAGCGUGAGUGACGGUAAUGGGUAAAGAAGCACCGGCUAACUACGUG
rnacentral:rRNA from 1 species